rnacentral:misc_RNA from 1 species
GAUGAAGAACGUAGCGAAAUGCGAUACGUAAUGUGAAUUGCAGAAUUCAGUGAAUCAUCGAGUCUUUGAACGCACAUUGCGCCCCCUGGUAUUCCGGGGGGCAUGCCUGUCCGAGCGUCAUUGCUGCCCUCAAGCACGGCUUGUGUGUUGGGCCCCCGCCCCCCGGUUCCCGGGGGGCGGGCCCGAAAGGCAGCGGCGGCACCGCGUCCGGUCCUCGAGCGUAUGGGGCUUCGUCACCCGCUCCGUAGGCCCGGCCGGCGCCCGCCGGCGACCCCCCUCAAUCUUUCCAGGUUGACCUCGGAUCAGGUAGGGAUACCCGCCGAACUUAAGCAUAUCAAUAAGCGGAGGA